rnacentral:rRNA from 1 species
AAAAUGUAGCUAAGGGAAGGCAGAAUAAGACGCAGGACUAUCAGUUAGUUGGUAGUGUAAUGGACUACCAAGACAGUGACGGUUGACGGGAAAUUAGGGUUUUGUACCGGAGAGGGAGCCUGAGAGAUUGCUCCCACGUCCAAGGACGGCAGCAGGCGCGAAAAUUGCCCACUCUUUGCAGGAGGCAGUUAUGAGACGUGAAGAUGAGUAUCUUGUAAAGAGGGAUAGGAGAAUUGGAGGGCAAGUUUGGUGCCAGCAGCCGCGGUAAUACCGACUCCAAGAGUGUGUAUGAGAGAUGCUGCAGUUAAAAAGUCCGUAGUCAUAGAAGGGCAAGAGAGAUGCGAGGUCUCACAGUGCGAUGAUGGAGGAGCCGAUGGGGAACAUAGUAUACCAGGGCGAGAGAUGAAAUGCCAAGACCCCUGGUGGACUGAGCGAGGCGAAGGCGAUGUUCUUGUAGGCAUUCGGUGAUCAAGGACGAAGGCUGGAGUAUCGAAAGUGAUUAGAUACCGCAGUAGUUCCAGCAGUAAAAGAUGCCGACAUGCUCAUUGGACACAGUGGGCAGGGAGAAAUCUUAGAGUUCGGGCUCUGGGGAUAGUAUGCUCGCAAGGGUGAAAAUUAAAGAAAUUGACGGAGCUACACCACAAGGAGUGGAUUGUGCGGCUUAAUUUGACUCAACGCGAGGAAACUUACCAGGGCCAAGUAUUGUGUAGAAACGAGCAAUACAGGAGUGGUGCAUGGUCGUUGGAAAUUGAUGGGAUGACUUUGACCUUAAAUGGUUGAAUGAGUGAGAUCUUUUGGACAUGUUCCGCACGGAACAGGAAGGAAAAGGCUAUAACAGAUCCGAGAUGCCCUCAGAUGCCCUGGGCUGCACGCGCAAUACAAUAGCAGGUAGAGAGAGAGACAGGAAGGUGCUCAGAUGGACUAUGUGCUGUAAGGCACAUACGAAAGAGGAAUUCCUAGUAAGUGUGUAUCAA